GACGAACGCUGGCGGCGUGCUUAACACAUGCAAGUCGAACGAUGAAGCCGGAGCUUGCUCUGGUGAAUUAGUGGCGAACGGGUGAGUAACACGUGAGUAACCUGCCCUUGACUCUGGGAUAACUGCUAGAAAUGGUAGCUAAUACCGGAUACGACCCUCGGAGGCAUCUCCAGGGGGUGGAAAGAAUUUCGGUCAAGGAUGGACUCGCGGCCUAUCAGCUAGUUGGUGAGGUAACGGCUCACCAAGGCGACGACGGGUAGCCGGCCUGAGAGGGGGACCGGCCACACUGGGACUGAGAUACGGCCCAGACUCCUACGGGAGGCAGCAGUGGGGAAUAUUGCACAAUGGGCGCAAGCCUGAUGCAGCGACGCCGCGUGAGGGAUGACGGCCUUCGGGUUGUAAACCUCUUUCAGCAUCGACGAAGCGAAAGUGACGGUAGGUGCAGAAGAAGGACCGGCCAACUACGUGCCAGCCGCCGCCGUAA
rnacentral:rRNA from 1 species